rnacentral:lncRNA from 1 species
GCACCUAUAAAAGCUAUGCUGUUAUAACACCCUAUGAAAACCGUGCUGUUCCUGGACUCAGGGCUUCACUUCGCUUAGGGAGUGGAGUCCAUGCGAGUGAAUAAACUCCUUUCAGUUUUAACUUUGUCGUUUGUCCCAGUGUUUGGUGAUCUACUGGCUUGCUUGGCACAGCAGGCAUAACAUGCUAUCAUCAUCUCUACUUAGUAUAUUGAUAUGUGAAGCCCAAAUGUCAACUCUCUUUCAUAGAGAAAAUCCCUUUGAAUGCCAACAAAGGAGGGACCCCUGUCACCAGGGCGGCCCGUCUUCUCACUACCCACCUGCAAGUCCCACAAGCUUCUCAGCUUCAUGCCUCUGGCCGGUUCCCAGGACAGCCUCGUCAGGCUCUCGGGUCAUCCACUGCGAGUGUCCCAGGGGACCCUGGCCCUUCUACCUGCAGAGCAAGUUUGCCCUUUGUUUUGGAACAAGAGGCACACACAGCGCCUGCUGGUGCUCAGGUGAUGGGGCUGCAGCAGGGCCUUCAGUAAACUGGUCCACUCCCUGGGCUGAUGACCAUCAUGCUGGGCGGUGCAGGAGGAGCUGUAUCCUCCUUGCCUGCAAUGGCUCUGUCCUGCCUGCCUGCACUGUAAACUCUUACACCGGCCGUGGCAUGGCCAUCACCCAGAGCUGACUGCAGUAACCCACACUCCACUGCCCCCAGAUCUCUUCCUCCCACACGGAGCCAUGAAAGGGAGAGCUGGGUGCUGCCAGGUGCAUCCCCAAGAACGGUCUGUCAGUGCUGACCACGCCCACACUCUGGCCCCUGUCGGCGGGGGCGGGGGGCUGGACUCACCGAGGCCUGUGUGCUUGGGGUUCGUGCUCCCCAUCCUGGUCUGUGCUGAAGGUGGUGAGGGGGAGGGGAGGCCUCUGGGCUCCAGCACAGGUCGGUCCUGGGUCCCGAGCAGUGCAGUGGUGUGGGCAGCAGCCAGG